CUGGACGGGGUCAACUCGUGA
rnacentral:siRNA from 1 species